rnacentral:rRNA from 1 species
GCGAAAACUUUACAAUGCCGGCAACGGCGAUAAGGGGACCUCGAGUGCCAGGUUACAAAUCUGGCUGUCGAGAUGCCUAAAAAGCAUUUCAUAGCAAGGGCCGGGCAAGACCGGUGCCAGCCGCCGCGGUAACACCGGCGGCUCGAGUGGUAACCGUUAUUAUUGGGUCUAAAGGGUCUGUAGCCGGCCGGAUAAGUCUCUUGGGAAAUCUGGCAGCUUAACUGUCAGGCUUUCAGGAGAUACUGUUCGGCUCGAGGCCGGGAGAGGUGAGAGGUACUUCAGGGGUAGGGGUGAAAUCUUGUAAUCCUUGAAGGACCACCAGUGGCGAAGGCGUCUCACCAGAACGGACCUGACGGCAAGGGACGAAAGCUAGGGGCACGAACC